rnacentral:misc_RNA from 1 species
UGGAGAUUCUGAGAUACCAACUUCUCCAUCACUCAGCAUUGGAGCAGAUGCGGAUAAGAUGGCUCCAAAGCAGAAAAUUAGAAUUAAGCUAAGGUCUUACUGGGUGCCCCUGAUUGAGGACUCCUGCAAGCAGAUAAUGGAUGCUGCUAGGACUACCAAUGCAAAGACCAUGGGUCCUGUACCAUUACCAACAAAGAAGCGAAUCUACUGUGUUUUAAAAUCCCCCCAUGUGCACAAGGAUGCUAGAUUUCAUUUUGAGAUCAGAACCCACCAACGCCUAAUUGAUAUUCUCUACCCAACA